rnacentral:rRNA from 1 species
UACAGAGGGGGCGAGCGUUGUUCGGAAUUACUGGGCGUAAAGGGCGCGUAGGCGGCCAACUAAGUCAGACGUGAAAUCCCUCGGCUCAACCGGGGAACUGCGUCUGAUACUGGAUGGCUUGAAUUCGGGAGAGGGAUGCGGAAUUCCAGGUGUAGCGGUGAAAUGCGUAGAUAUCUGGAGGAACACCGGUGGCGAAGGCGGCAUCCUGGACCGACACUGACGCUGAGGAGCGAAAGCCAGGGGAGCAAACGGG